rnacentral:rRNA from 1 species
GUCCACGCUGUAAACGAUGAUUACUAAGUGUCGGGAAACCGGUGCUGAAGCUAACGCAUUAAGUAAUCCACCUGAGUAGUACGGUCGCAAGACUGAAACUCAAAGGAAUUGACGGGCACCCGCACAAGCGGUGGAGCAUGCUGUUUAAUUCGAUGCUACGCGAAGAACCUUACCUAGACUUGACAUCCCCGGCAAAGCUAUAGAAAUAUAGUGGAGGUUACCCGGGUGACAGGUGGUGCAUGGUUGUCGU